CGCGGGCUGACGAGUCUCAAACAGGACGAAAUGCGCGUCAUCCUGGG
rnacentral:hammerhead_ribozyme from 1 species